AUUGAACGCUGGCGGCAUGCCUUACACAUGCAAGUCGAACGGCAGCACGGGUGCUUGCACCUGGUGGCGAGUGGCGAACGGGUGAGUAAUACAUCGGAACGUACCUUAUCGUGGGGGAUAACGCAGCGAAAGCUGUGCUAAUACCGCAUACGCCCUGAGGGGGAAAGCGGGGGAUCGAAAGACCUCGCGCGAUUAGAGCGGCCGAUGCCUGAUUAGCUUGUUGGUGGGGUAAAAGCCCACCAAGGCGACGAUCAGUAGCUGGUCUGAGAGGACGAUCAGCAACACUGGGACGGAGAAACGGCCCAGACUCCUACGGGAGGCAGCAGUGGGGAAUUUUGGACAAUGGGGGCAACCCUGAUCCAGCAAUGCCGCGUGAGUGAAGAAGGCCUUCGGGUUGUAAAGCUCUUUUGUCAGGGAAGAAACACCGGCUCUAACACAGUCCGGGAAUGACGGUACCUGAAGAAUAAGCACCGGCUAACUACGUGCCAGCCGCCGCGGUAA
rnacentral:rRNA from 1 species